GGAAGGUACACAUAUUAUGGUUUAUACCAUGUUGUUGGGUAUUGGGCUGAAAAAGGUGUUUAUGGAUAUACAAUAUACAAGUAUCGUCUCAAGCGCCUUGAGGGGCAGCCGAUACUGUCAACUAAUCAGAUGAGACGAGAGUGCAGAUUGAAA